GACGAACGCUGGCGGCGUGCUUAACACAUGCAAGUCGAACGGAAAGGCCCUGCUUUUGUGGGGUGCUCGAGGGGCGAACGGGUGAGUAACACGUGAGUAACCUGCCCUUGACUUUGGGAUAACUUCAGGAAACUGGUGCUAAUACCGGAGAGGAGCUCCUGCUGCAUGGGGGGGGUUGGAAAGUUUAGGCUGUGGGGGAUGGACUCGCGGCUUAUCAGCUUGUUGGUGGGGUAGGUGCUUACCAAGGCUUUGACGGGUAGCCGGCCUGAGAGGGUGAACGGGCACCUUGGGACUGCGAUACGGCGCAGACUCCUACGGGAGGCAGCAGUGGGGAAUAUUGCACAAUGGGCGGAAGCCUGAUGCAGCAACGCCGCGUGCGGGAUGACGGCCUUCGGGUUGUAAACCGCUUUCGCCUGUGACGAAGCGUGAGUGACGGUAAUGGGUAAAGAAGCACCGGCUAACUACGUG
rnacentral:rRNA from 1 species